UGUGCUUUUUAAUGGGUUGAAUAUGUACUUUAAGAGUAACAAGGAGAUUUUAAGUUAGUCUCUAGAAUUUUGGCUUGCCGUUUUGUUGCUGCUGUUCUGUACCCAGAGCGCUGUUGAUAGAAAAGUUUGAUAUUACCAUUUCACUUGUGAACAGCUCAGGUUGUUUCCUCAGACUUCUGCCUUCUGUGUGUGUCAGUACAACCAUGAUUUACAUGUGCAGGGCUGCCAUAAAGUAGAUACAGGUGUUCUGUGAAGUACAGUGGACUCCAAUCCGGACCAGCUGUCUGCAAAUCCAUACUAAAAUCACUGCUCCUGUAAGCCAGCAACCGAUCUGAACGUGAAUAUAAAGUUUUACUCUUCAGGACUUCAGCCUGAGAACUUUGCAGCCGUGUUUGGGCUUCGUACUCCAAAGCAUGAUCUUAGCCUGUUGCCUCCUCACGCUUCAUGAGAUUGGGAACCUAAUCUUCAAAAGGACAGCAAUAAGACGUAAGCUUUCAGGCUGCAGAGCUGAGGCUAAACUGUACCAGGAGCAGCCAAGGAGCUCAAGGAGGAGCUAUUUUUACCAUCGUUUCUGCAUCCUCUGCAGAGUGCACUCUGACAGGACCUUCAGUUGUUGAUAUUGCUCAGUGACCAGUGUGAAAGCCUCUGCUUUAUUUUCUCUAAAGUUAUUAUGCGUUCCCCGUAAUUGCUAGAACAGGGAAAAUUUCUAGAGUGAAGGUAGGUACUUUAAAUUUAUUUUGAGGUCUCCAAAAGCUGUUGUUCCCAUUCUCUGAACUCACCGUUUUACUCUUUGUUCAGGCUCCUUGCGCAUUCUCAGCAGCCUCCCUGGUGGUAUUGUGAGCUUGACUUAAUACAGAGAGCAAUUUUGCCCUAAUUUGUGUGUUCAAGUGGGAAGGUUCACUUUCUGACUCAGCCCCAGCCUGGUGGGCCCAGGUGCUGAGCAGGGCAGGCCUAGGCCCCAGCCCAAUCCUGCACCUCGUUCACUGCACCUGGGCAUAAUCACAGCACCACAGCUGAGGCUGGUGGGGAUCUUGGGAUUUUUGUAGCCCAGCCCCUGCUGGUGUGGAGACAUUCAGAGCAGGCUGUCUGGGCAGCUUCUGAAUAUCUCCACGGAGGAGGCUUCACAGCCUCUGGGCAGCUUGUGCUAGUGCUCUGGCACCUAUGAAGCACUGAGGUGUUUUCUGGUGUUCAGAGGGAACUGCUGCCUGGCACUGGGCAGCAGAGAGAAGAACCUGGCUCUGUCCUCUUUGCCCAUUCCCUCUAGGAGCAAUUGAUGAUGCACUGAUUGUGUUCCUCUGAGCCUUCUCUCCCAGCUGAGAGGCCCCAGUCCCUUCAUCAGGGAAGAACUGCAGUCCCUCGAUCAAAGGCUCUGCCACCUCUACCUCACUUGGACGGUCACAGAGGAUUUGCCUGGAGGAUGGCACUUCUGGCCCAGGUCACGCUGAGGAGCGUGUCUCCAAGCUGAAGGUACAGCUGACUGCGUGCAUUUGAAGCGCUUCAGGAUCCUUCACAGAGCCCCAUUCCUUGCCUACCAGCACUCUGCAAGGAGGAUGGAUCAGAAACUUUGAGCUGAGUACCUGUUCACAGAGAAUGAAGCAGACUUGCCAGCCAGCCCCUGGGUUACCUCCUUUCAUGGCAGAGAAGCACAAGAAGCAAACUCCACAGUUCCUGUGGAUUUGCUCCAUCACAAAGUGAAUUGAAUCAGGUUUAUUCCUGUUCUGUAUCUCCAGACGAUGCUUGCAGCGUUAAAGAGGUUUUUGUUGACAUGUGAACUCUGGUUAUGCAUAUGGCUGGCUUUCUAUGUGCCAUCCUGGAACCAACAGCAGCUGCUUUUGAAAAAAGGGCUUCUGUGCUCCCUCUUGAAGAUAGUUCUGGUCAGAAGGAGCCUGCUGGCAGGAAGGACUGCUCAGGGUUCUGUAGAAGGGAUGGACAGAAGACAGAGCCUCCUCAGCAUAUCACUCAUGAAGCACUCUUCUUUCUGAAGGUAUGCUCACAAAGCUCAGUUCCUUCUCCAGUGGAAUUAGGCUGCUGGAGGUUGGGUUGUACUUUCAACAGCAAGCUAAAGCCUCACACUGCUUUGUCUGCAGUAACAUUUCACUUGAAAGUAUGUCAGCCGAUGUAACAAACCCAUACCUUCCCUAGCAGCAAUAGUCUGUGUCUGCUUUAUACAGACAGAGCCAGCAAGUUGAAAGGGGAUAGACACUAAGUUUUUUUUUUUAAAAAAGCAUACUUCUGAGAAUCUUGUUAGACAGAUAUUAGGCUUUUUUUUUUUUUAAGCAUUUUAAAGAUGUGACACAGAGAAGAUAUGCCAGCAGUAGUUCUUAGGAUGUAUGACUUGUUUGUUAUUGCAAGCCAGGGCUCCACAUCCUAUUUAUAAGAGAUUGUGAUAGACAACGUACAUAUUUGGUGGAAAUUUCUUCUAGAUUCUAGACUUACAGAAUUCCUCCUCAGUGCCCCUGCCACAGGUUUAUGGGCCCUCCUGCCACUAUAGUCUGGUUUGUAGAAAUGCUCUUGGAACAUGGGGAAUUUUCCCUGUACAGUAACAGGUGUUAAGAACUGCAUCCAGCAGAUUAUCUACUCCUGAUCUAAUUAAACUGAAAAGAAGAGAAAAGAUGUGAUCCACUAUGGGAGAGGAAAAAGAAUAUAUUUCUUAAAUUUGUUCUUCACACAGCUGUUCUAGAAGGAGCUGCACAGAGCAGGGUCUGUUUGUUUUUUUUUUGGGUGGUCCUGCACAGAGCCAGGAGUUGGACUCAGUGAUCCUUGUGGGUCCCUUCCAACAUGGGAUAUUUUGUGGUUCUAUGUUCUGCUUCUCCACAGUCCUGGAUUAACUCAGUUUCAUGCCAUGCAGACUUGCAUGAAUGCAUCCACAUCUGAAAAGUGGCCCAAGGAAAGCUCAAAGCAAGCAGGGGCUCUUUGAACUGUUUUUACCACUAUCCAAUCACACAACAGAACACAAUGAAAAGACCGAAGAAGGUGAUGUUGCAAGGAAGGACUUGCUGAGCAACACUAAUCUAGCAAGGACAUCUUUUUAAAUUCCGUCCAGCAUUUUCUUCUGCCGUAAAUGACCUAUGUGUUAUCCUUGUGCAUAACCUCUAUAAUCAAAUAGCAGCAUGA